rnacentral:tRNA from 1 species
GUACACUUAGCUCAGUUGGGAGAGCGAAUGGGAAUAACCAUUUAUGACACUGGUUCAAAUCCAGUAGUGUGCA